AAUUAGGAAAAAUUUUAGAACGGAAAGGAAAAUGAGAGAAAAAAUAUUAGUAGCAUUUAGGUAAAUAAAUUAAGUAUAUUUAUAGAGAGAGUGGUAGUUCUGGUUGGUGAUUGUUCUUUAUUGUCUCUAUCAAUCUUUCUUCAAAAAAAGAAAAAAAGAAAAACCCUAAGCUUAAAGAUUCACUUAAUAUUUGCUCUAAGCGUUUAGAUCUUGCCUCGACUCGAGUUAACUCUCCGAUCUGCUGUGUCGACUCAAUGUUGAACGCCGUGCAUCCGCUGAGAGGUUGAAAUGCUGAGGAAUGCCUUUUCUUUUCUUUUUUUGAUUGAUUGAUAAUUUCAAUGAUAAUCUACGAAAAUGUCGGCUUCGUUAGCGGCAUUCGAGCGGCCCAGAGGGGGAGCCUCAAACACGGUUUUCAAGAGUGGCCCUCUUUUCAUAUCCUCAAAAGGCAUCGGUUGGAAGUCUUGGAAGAAGAGGUGGUUUAUCCUCACACGGACUUCCUUGGUGUUCUUCAAAAAUGAUCCUAGUGCCCUACCACAAAGGGGUGGUGAAGUUAACUUGACUUUGGGGGGCAUUGACUUGAAUAAUUCUGGAAGUGUUGUUGUUAGAGAAGAUAAAAAAUUGUUGACUGUGUUGUUUCCUGAUGGACGUGAUGGACGGGCUUUUACUCUUAAGGCAGAGACAUCAGAGGAUUUGUAUGAGUGGAAGACAGCCCUAGAACAUGCUCUUGCACAAGCGCCAAGUGCUGCACUCGUCAUGGGACACAAUGGGAUUUUCCGAAAUGACACAAGUGAUACAAUUGAAGGGUCAUUCCAUCAAUGGAGAGACAAACGCACUGUUAAAUCGUUGGUUGUUGGUAGACCAAUUUUGCUUGCGCUUGAAGAUAUUGACGGGAGCCCAUCAUUCCUUGAGAAAGCUCUGCGGUUUCUUGAGAAGUUUGGAACUAAAGUUGAGGGAAUUCUACGUCAGUCUGCAGAUGUUGAGGAGGUUGAUCACAGAGUUCAAGAAUAUGAACAGGGCAAGACUGAAUUUGGUUCUGAUGAGGAUGCUCAUGUUGUGGGAGACUGUGUGAAGCAUGUGCUAAGGGAGCUACCCUCAUCCCCAGUUCCUGCAUCCUGCUGCACUGCGUUGCUGGAGGCUUACAAAAUUGAUCGGAAGGAAGCUCGAAUAAGUGCAAUGCGCUCUGCGAUAUUAGAGACAUUUCCUGAACCAAACCGGCGUCUAUUACAAAGGAUUCUGAAGAUGAUGCAUACAAUUUCAUCUCAUGCUCACGAGAAUCGAAUGACUCCAUCUGCUGUAGCUGCUUGCAUGGCACCCUUGCUUUUACGCCCCCUAUUAGCAGGUGAAUGUGAGUUGGAGGAUGACUUUGAUGUUAAUGGUGAUAAUUCUGCCCAGCUUCUUGCUGCUGCAAAUGCUGCUAAUAAUGCUCAAGCCAUCAUUACAACUCUUCUGGAGGAGUAUGAGAAUAUUUUUGAUGAUGAAAAUCUACAAAGAUGUUCUAUUUCAGCUGAUUCUCGGGUUGAAAAUAGUGUUAGUGAAGAUUCGACUGAUGAUGAAAAUCCAGAUAUGAAAGACAAUGGUUACCAUGAUGCCGAAAAUGAAGCUGAUCCAGACACAGAUGAUGAACCUGAACGUGUUCUCAGUGGGAAAUUAAGUGAAAGCAGUGGUUAUGCAGGCAGUGAUCUGUAUGACUACAAGGCAUUUGGGGAUGAUGGUUCAGAUGUUGGAUCCCCUAGAGACAAUCAUACUCAGGCUGAGAGUUCAGGCUUAACUGUAGGCCCUCUACAGAUGAGAGAUCCCGAUGCUCAGCUGGAGGAACAAGGUAAGCAAAAUAAAGGAAAUGAAAAUCCAAAUAAUGAGAUAGAUGUCUCAAGUGUGCUACCUACUAGUGAAUCUUACCGAUCAAUGGGUGAGAUUCUUUCUUCAAUGGAUCCUGGCCAUCCUAUAUCUAUGCCUGGAGUUGAAUCUUCCACUGAGAAGCCUGUUGGUAAAGCUAAAGGCUCCAGUCUUAAUGCAAAGAGAUCAACAUUCUGGGGAAGAAGCAAUGCCAGAAAGACACCAUCGAUGGAAUCUGUUGAUUCUUCUGGCGAAGAAGAGCUUGCUAUACAGAGGCUUGAGGUUACAAAGAAUGAACUGCAACAUCGUAUCGCGAAAGAGACUAGAGGAAAUGCAAUUUUACAAGCUAGCUUGGAAAGAAGAAAACAAGCUUUGCAUGAACGUCGCCUGGCACUUGAACAAGAUGUCUCUAGAUUGCAAGAGCAGCUACAAGCUGAACGAGAUCUUCGAGCAGCACUUGAAGUUGGAUUGAGCAUGUCAUCUGGACAAUUUUCUAGUUCCCGUGGAAUGGAUUCCAAGACGAGGGCCGAGCUUGAGGAGAUUGCUCUUGCCGAAGCUGAUGUGGCCAGAUUGAAGCAGAAAGUUGCAGAACUCCAUCAUCAGCUGAAUCAGCAAAGGCAGCAUCACUAUGGUUCUCUCUCUGAUGCAUGUGACCGUUAUCAACAUGUUCAAAAUCAUAACUCUCAACAGAGGUUUCUUCAGCAAGAUUUUGACACAACCCUUGCUUUUUGUAAUCAUGAGAGGAAACAAAGAACAGAGGAAAAUUUGUUAGGGGCGGACUGGAGGAAUGUUAAAGGACAGGGGUUGGCAGUUGGCAACAGCAGCAGGCAGCCUAUUCGAAAGCAAUUUAUGGAUUCAACAAGCUUGAGUGACUCAAAAAGUACUGAAGCAUCAGCAAAUGUGACCAUGGAUGAGCUUUGUGUGGUUGAUUCUGCCUCUAUCCCAUCCACUUCUAGAGCAGCAGAGGUGAUUGAUUAUCCACGACAUCCAUCAGCAGCUUCUUCUGCUUUGGUAGAAUUAACAACCCGUCUUGAUUUUUUCAAGGAAAGGCGUUCCCAACUAAUGGAGCAGCUCCACAACCUUGAUCUGAACUAUGGCACGUCUUCUCAGGAUUUUGUAUACAGACCAUCAUCACCCCCAUGGAACUAACCAGAGAUGAACAAUGUUGUCUUGUUGUACAUCCUAAAUUGUUGCAUAUAAAUGUAUUUCUUGUAGUCUUGCUCGUUUAAAAUUUAUUUCUUUUUUUCUUCGCGUUUUUUGGGUUGUGAGAAGGUGAUUGGAGUUGUAACCAUGCUGUUUAUUUUUUGUCAGACAUUGUAAAGAUACCAGUAACAAUGUCAAUAGUAGGUGGAGCGUGGAGGAGCCCUACGACUCCCUUUCCAAGAUUGAACGUGAGAUCUCUAAGUUGAGAAGUCUCAAGUUCUAUGUAAUGUUAUGUUAUACUCCGUAUUACAUUAUGCCACCAUCAAAUAUUCAAAUGCACUAUCGGAAGAAGAUAAGCACUCAGCCACCAAUCCUACCAGGGGACCUGUUAAUAGAAAUACUUGUGAGGGUACCCGUGAAGUCUCUUUCGCGGUGUAAGGGAGUGUGCAAAUCCUGGCGAGCUUUGAUCGAUGAACACCUUGAUAAAAGCCAGCGAACACAACAACCCUGAUAAUCCAAGGUCAGAGGUGACUCAUUCUCAGAACAGUCAACUACACAUGGCUCAUCCCCGGUAGUGAAAGAGGUUAGAGGUGACUUUGUUUCUGUGGAAUCCAUCAACCAGGGAAAACAAGGUUGGAGAAACAAUAAUGAAUCAAAUUUAUAUAGCUCCGAAGCUGCUGCACUUGGCUACGAUUUUUACCCCAAAAGUUACAAGGCGGUGACGGUUGGCACAAACGAAUUGAAAGUCUUUGAUAUGUUAAAACUAAUUUUUGGACACGUAUUGUUGAUGGUAUAAACGUUUCCACAGGCAUGAAAACGCCGUGACCCUGGUUAAUGUUAAGGAGUAUUAUGCAAGGCUGAAUGUUGAGUGUUGAGUUUGAAGCAAUGCUCUCAUAUUGCAUGUCCCAUUUAUGUUGUAUUCAGCUGUGUUAGCAAAAGCCUGAUCUUUUUCUCUAA